rnacentral:lncRNA from 1 species
AGGCUGUGCUCCACGGGUGCUGCCCAUAGUAGGGACCCUGAUCACGUGAAUCGAUGAAAAACUGUGGCCUGUCAUUCAAGUCGAAGUUUACUUCCUUCCCUGAUUGCUGAGAAACUGAAGGUGACGCGCUUUGCUGCCCAUUGUGACUUAAAAACAAUCUUGUUUCCAUCUUCAACUCAGAAGGUGGAGGAAUGUCAUCCUCUUCGUUUGUACAAUUCAAAUCCAGGUUGAACCUGCUUGAUCCUCGGAAAUUAGCUUCAUGUGAGGACUCUCCACCCCUAGAGUUUGAUGAGGAGAAAGGAAACUGUUUCCAGGGAGUCUGAUCUUCAACUUGAUCAUCUCCUACAUCCGCUACAUUCAGAUCGACACAUAUCACCUGCUUUUCUCUUGAAUCCCCGCUAGGAACUUUGUGAGGUGAUUCCGAGUGAGAUACACUACAAGCAGCCAAACCUUUCGCACUAAGAGAUCUUUCCAAUUGCAACGGUGCUGCUGCAGGCAUACCAGAAUAUGAAACAGACAUAAUGUCAUCGGUCUCAUCAGGACAAAUAUCUUCAUUGAGGUCAAAGCCACAUGGGCUUUUCUCUCUCCCUACCUCGGAUUUAGCAGGUUCUGCCAGGUGCUUCUCUUUAACAUCAUCAGCGUUCACCAUCCCAUUCUCACGUUUAUUAUUCUUCUCUUCCAGGUGAUCUCCAACAUGUGGUUCCUCAAGGGAAAGACUUUCACCCACUGAUAAUCUUUUAGAUGGAGAACCUGUGUGUAGAUCACCACUGUGGGAGUGUUGCGAAUCAGACUGCCCGCUUUCAUCAGAUAGUUCUUCUGAAGAACUGUGAGAAGCUUCCCCAGAGUCUACGUCUCUUGCCACUUCCUGUGCGACUUUGGUAGCGAUCUCCAAGGCAUCCAAGAUACCAAGGUCAAUAUCAGCCGUUGUUUUGUCGAUUGCUCCAAGGCGCUGGGAUAUGGUCAUUGAUCUAGAAGACCUGCGUUUUUUUCUUCGUUUCACUCUCUUCUCUGUGUCUAAAUGUCCCUUACCUUCUCUUUUGUCUUCACUCUCAACUUUAUCAUUUCUACCAUGACCACCUGAUAAUCUAGACGAACUGUCAGAAUCCUGAUUGUCCGUCACCUGAGCCAAUGAAGGCACAUUUUCCCUAUUAUGGGCAAUACUAACAUCGUGCGACGCGCAUACGGUCUCAGACGCAUUCCUGAUGACCUCAUUUGAAUCAAGACUACUCUGCAAAAUACUAUUUUUCUCCAACUCCAUGCUGACAAUAACAGAAUCAGAAGACACAGCUACAGAACUAGAUGACACUGCUCCAGCUCCACCAAUCUUUUCAAGAAAAUUUCCAGGGCUUCCUAGCUGCUUUUCCUUAGAUAUCUCAGCACUAACCGGAGCAAUUGAUGGACCUUCGACACUAUCGCGUUCUGAAUUAAGAAUGCUAAUAGAGCUUGCAACUUGUGCCUGCCACCAACAAUAUAAGCUUGCUUGUAUAAGCAAAAAGAUCAUAUUUUGUUUCAAUAUAUUUUCUCAGUAAAUUGGACCUUACCUUGGCACUGAGAUUAGAAAGAAAAGCUGUACACUCGUCUGGCUGCAUCACUGGUUGUGCGUCUUCUGUCUCUUGUUUAUUUGAAGUAGCUGCCUUUCCAGACUCUGAUUCAAUGCUUAUUUUGUUUGGUACAGUUGCACUAUUAUCUUCUUUACUCAUCUGCGGCGGCUUACCCAAAGAGACUUCUUCUACACACGCUCCUCCACGGGUAGGAUCUCCAGAAGUCUGCAAUAACACAAAGCAAUAAAGUUGACUGUCAAGUUAUCAUCUUUGGUAAAAUCUGAUUCCUUCCUAGGAUUCUGAGAAAGCUGGUUAUAGGGAAAGGGAGAAGAUUAUUACUUGGACAUAAGCAUCGCAGUUGUGAGGAUUGGCGGAGAGCUCCGAACCUAGGAAUGGGGCAGCCUCGGAAUCAUCCGCAGAGGGUGGGGCAGGAUCUUCCAUCUUCUGAUCGAUGCUCGUGAGUAGCUCAGUGUCAUCCAUCGUCUCAAUUUUCUCCGUCGUCGAGACUAUAUAACCACCAAUUCAAUUUGUGAUUUUGAAAUUAGAAUCUAUGCAAACGCACUCACACAAUUGGUCAAUUCCUUUGAAUUAUAAACCGGUAAGGAUUUUGAUAAGCUUGAAGUAAGCUCAUCGGGGGGGGGGAGGGAGAAUUGACGAAGAGCAGGGUAGAAGGAAGAAGAAGAAAUGAGAAUUUAGGGAUUUUGAUAUUUGAUUUGUUGAUUUUUUCCAUAAAGUUUGCGUGAUUACAUACAUAUAAAGUAUAAACCAAAAGAAGAUAAUAACUAACAGCCCAAUGGACAAUAAACCGAGGCCCAAAUGGUUCUUAUCAGAUUUCACGGUUAUCCUUAACCUCACAUUGAUUGUAAAAUAAUUUUGGGGCCCGGUUGAUGUUCGGGUAAAUUGAGGCUUUGUGGUUGUGUAAAGUCCUGGAAGCCGAAAAAUUGCCAAUAAUUUUUUUUUAGACUUUAGAAAUAUGUAAAGCUUUAAAAGCCACUUUUAAACAAAAAAAAAACUGGUUUUUAGUUCUUUAUUUUCAACAGCCACUUUUUAAUGCUUUUAAACCAUUUCUUUUUAUUAUUUUUUUCUAAAAAAACGUGAACGCUUAAGGUUUUAGGAUUUGCUCAAUGCCAAAAUUAUUUCGCUUAGAUGAUACUAAUUUUCCUCAUCCAUCUGAUGGUAAGUAUUAUUUAGGUGAUUCAGAAUACGCAUUGCACCGUAGAUAUCUUUGUCUUUAUAGAGGAAAUACAUCUCUUAUAUACUAAAGCACAAGUCACAUGUGGAAUAUAUUUUAUUAAAAAAAUCUAUCUAAAACAAAUUCUCAUCCCUAAUUUCCAGCAACUCUAUCCUAUUUUUUCUCAGAAUCCACGUUCAAAAUCACCAUGAUUUCAAACGGUUUUCUUCUCCUAUAUACUUUUUGAUCUUUUAGUUCACUCUCUGUUUUAUAUUUUCUAUCUUCUCCAUUAUCAAAUCCCCAUGCUUAUCAAGGACAAACGUUAGUAUCUGAGUUUCCAAUUCUUUUAUCUAAAAUUGAAUAUUUACAGGUAUGUUUUUUGGCUUAUCUUUACGUAAUUACUAUCUUUUGCAUUAGUUUUAGUAUUUCAAAAGGAACAUACAGACCUGUAACCCACAUUCUAAUAGUACGUUUAAUAUCUUUAAGUUUUACAUCUAUUUUAGUCAAGGUCAGAGUUCAUCUCAUGUUGAAAUAUAUUCAUGGUCAAUUUUACAUUGCCAUAUCAAGAGUCGAAAGUAUAGAGAUCUUAAUUGUUAGUGAGGAGGGGGGGAGGGGGAAGGAUACAAAAACAACUAAUGUUUCUAGAUAUUUUUCAUCACAUUAGAGAAUCUUGAAUCAUCUUUAGGUGAAAAUAGAAUAAUAAGUGUAGCCACCACAAAAAAAACAAUGAUAGAGAUCUUCAGAGCUUGGAAGAUGAUGAAUCCCAUAGAAAGGUGAUGAAUAUUUUCUAGAGUAAAUGCAACUUCUUUGUUUGAACGCAGCCAUCUCUUAUCAUGUUUAUCGAAUAUUUGACUAGAUUAUUAAUUUUUAGUGAAAGAUAUAUUAAAAUUUCAUGAUCAAGUAAUUUAAUAGACAGGGAAAUUGAUCCGUGCAUGGCACGGGAGAACACUAGUAUCAUCUAAAUCAGUUCUAAAAUCAACAAGAAGAAAGAAACUACAGAGAAAUUUUUAAUCGUCACCAUUCAUGACUUCGUUCAGUGAUAGAAAGAACUUUUGGAGUAUAGAAAAAAAUGAUGUAUUGUCAAAGACGAAGCAAGGUAUAACAUAUGCAAAAAAUUGUGGUGGCAACCAUGGUUCUCCAUAAUUUUAUUUGUAAAUCAAAUCUUGUGGAUCCUAAUUUUCAGUCAAAAGAAAAUGAAAAUGAACAAAUGACAAAUGAGGAAAAAACUUCCAGAUACGAUUGAACAAGAUCUCAGUUCAAAACAAUACAUGGAAGGUGUUCGAGAUGAACACUGCAAACAACAUUAGCAACCGUUAAAUCUUAUUUUUUAUAUUUAAUAAAAUGUAAUCUUAUUUAAAUAAUAAAAAUAAUAUUUUUUGUUAGAAUAAAUAAUAAAAUAUAUUUAUUGCUAAUUUUUUACUGAUAAAUAAAAAGUAGAUAGAAAAAAAUAAGUUAUAGAUUUUGGAAAUGAAUGUGAAAUAUAUACUUAUAACAGUCGCAGCUUCUAAAGUUUUUGAUGUCAAUCAAGCUUUUAAACUUUUCAAAAUAACAGUCACAACGUUUAAAGCUAAAUUCUCUACAGUCAUAUUUUUAAAACCAAAUCAUAAAGCGAAAGUGUUUACCAAUCCGACCCUUGGUCUUGAAUAGUUUAGUGUAGACGAAUUUUGGAACUCAAACCCACUCGCGAUUCACAUCUAUCGACCUCGUUUACAUUUCCAAAUUAGUACUCCUAUAUUACACUCAAUUAAACACUCAACCCAAUUCUCUAUCUCCUACUAAGUUUAAUGGUAAAUGCAACUCUUGUUAAUUGUGAAAAAAAACUCUGGUUAAUUAUUUGAAAUAAGUUAGUGAAAAAUAAGAAUUUCUCUAAAAUCAACUCUCAGUUAGGCACCAUUUAUUUUUCUAUUAAACUAUAAAUACUAUAGUAUAUCACCAAAUAUCUUAUUAUGUUUUAUAUAUUUCUAAAAGCCAUAUAAAUUUAUAUAAACUGAAUAUUUUGUGAGAAUGUAAGUUUUGAAUUUCUUAGGGAGAAUAUAAGUCUUUUUUAACAACUGCGAAAACAACCGUUAAUUUAAUAUUUUUUGUAUGCAUUAUACACUAAUGCCUGAUAAAUGUAUGAUGUUAUAGAUAGUUUUUGUAAAAAAAUAGACAACGACUCAAAGACCAAAUGUGUGUUAUUUUCAGUUAGAUACAUAAAAUGAAAAUAGAACAAGAAUCAAGUGAGACCAUAACUUGAAAUUGGAUUCAAGAUGACUUACAGCCAUGGAUGGUCUUGAGCAUAGUGAAGUGAAAUAUUGGAAUAGGGUCUCCAAUUUUUUUUUUGAAAAUUUUACUUUGAAAAAGGUCUCCAAAUUUGUAAAAAAUAAUUUUAUGUUAAAACUUUAAUAAAAUGUUUAUGGCCCCCAACAUUUUAGGGACGCCGUGCUUACACUUAGUGGGAGUUAUUGGUUGGUGUAUUUUGAUGGAUUUAAAAAUUCAAACUAAAUCUAGUGUUAUUGGUUCUACGAUUUUAAAAUAUGUAUUGAAAUUAUGUGUUAUUCGUUUAAUGAUUCAUAAAUUCUAAUUCAAAUCAAGUGUUAUUCGUUUAAUGAUUCAUAAAUUCUAAUUCAAAUCAAGUGUUAUUCAAUCGUACGGAUUUACUAAUAAAUUUGAUUUCAUAAUGUAUUUGAAUGGAUUUGCAUGAAUUUCUUUGUGAAAAAUACAAAGGCCCAAAUCCGAAAGAAAACCUCCGGAUUUGUAAAUACUAAUCCGAGAAAAUUUGAAAAUUUGUAUAUUUUACUUGGAUUUAUAAAUACUAUAUGGAUUUCUAAAUCAAUAAAAAUAUAUAAACCAAUAACACCUCCUUACAGUAUAUAUACUAUAUACUCGCGAGUUAAGAACUUCCAAAAUCUCAAGAACUACCAAAAGGUGUUUACAUGUAUACAAUGGAAACUCACUCAGCCCCCUUGAACGGGUUUGUCUCUGCUUUUUUGAGUCUCAGAUGCGAUAUUGUCAGUCUACAAUAUAAGAUUUUCUUCAGAGUGCGUUAAUAAAGUAGAACAAGAAAAGCUAUAUCCAAGGGAAUGAGAAGAGAAGGGACCAAGGUGCUUUCGCCUAUUCAGAACUUCGAGAUGUGUCCUUUGAAUUCCUCGAACCUUCUAUGAAAGCAAUCAUACCAGGCUAGAAUUCUUUGGACCAGAUAAAGUAUGAACUCAAGACUUGAGGAAAACCAGGAAGAGAGACAGAUUCCUCCCAAUUUCCACGCCGACUGAAAUCCUCUUUUUACCCUUCUUUGGAUUUGACCGUUCUAUACUGAUCUUCUUACCAAGAAACAUCUUUUUGUUCUUUGCUAUAGCUGCUGCAAAGUCCUCAUCAUCCACAAAGUCAACAUAUGCCAGUCCCUGCGAGACACAAGAGCAUCAAGAAUAUUAAUCCACCAUACUGGCAUGCUUCACUAAGACAUAAAAUAGCAGCAGAUAGUCAUCGGCAGUAUGCAUAAUUGAUAUCUAUGAUGAACAGAUUUACCAAUCAAUGCACCUGGAAAAAUAUACUCAAGUUCCAACAGGAUUUCAUCUAAGCAUGAUCAUACGGAAACUAGGAAAUUUCCAGAUUCAUUUACAGUAACAGUAAAGACUAAGAAGAGCAAAUACUAAUUCAAAGUCGAAAGUACGAGCAUUAGACCAAAGAAGAGCAAAUACUAAUUCAUCUAGAGGCUAGAGAUGCUUCAUUCCUUGCUCAUUCAAGCCACAGAGAAGGACUUAAUGGAAACACGGCACUCAUAGCUUCCCUUGCUUGUCUUAGCUUUUCAAGGUUUGCAUAAUUCCUGAGAAGCUUUAUAUACUGCAAUAACGUUGAUUGUCAAGCAUGAAAGUUAUCAUUUUUUUAAAUGAAAAUUUGGUAAAAGAAAAUCUGUUUUCCUGCCAGAUUCUGAGUGGGAGAAGAUUUCAAGCAAAUGGAAGGUAGAGAAGAUGUUAUUAUUGGAUGAUACCUUCUUUAUUGCGUCUGACUUCCAAGGCUAAAAAUGAGUUUCUGGGUGCUUCUUCUACUUCCCCAACUGUUACGUUUAGCUGCUUUGAUAUUGGUCUGAUUAUGCAUAUAAUUUGAACCGCUAGAUAUUCUCCAAGUAUUGUUCUUUACGACAGCUCAAACUCUGUUUCUAGGAACCACACAAACAACAGCUCAAACUCUGUUUCUAGGAACCACCAUUGUUUGGUUGGUUUAAGAGUUGUAUGAAACAGUUCAGAACUGCUACAGUAACAUAAAGCAACACUUGAAACGCAAAACUAUAGUUUUAUUUUAUGGAGAAAAUACAAAACAAGGUUAAGAAGAAGCUUGACAUAUACCAAUGUUUGAAUUAAUCCUCCUAUAUAUGUUACGAAAUAAAAACCUGAAAAAGGGGGAAAACUGAUGGGAAAAAAGAAGAAGAAAGUUCAUCAAGACAUUAUAAGUUACCUCCCAACACUUCUGUUAUUCUCUAACCAAUCAACCAAUCCAUCCACCUAUUAAGAACCCAAUCUCCACUUUCUGCGAAUCACUCAUCUCCAUGGAGGAGGGAACUCCCAACGUGUCUCCGGCUCUUUCCGCUUUCCACCAAUGCUAAUAGAUAAGCUCGAUGAAGGCUCUACAUUUGCUCCUGAAUGCUCUCCCAUAGCUUCGCCUUGUCCAGGUGAUAGAAACUGCCUCAAACUUAGCGACUCUCGGUUUCCCAUCUCACCCCCAAACCCAUAACUUUGAUCAAAGCGUGGCUGCACAGAUCCAUUCAGACUAUGCGAUCCACCCGCCAAGCUCAUGAACAUGUGCUGUUGAGGAAAUGGUGGCUGUGCAUAUGGAGUCGAUCCCAUCAUUUGAGGCAUCAUCACUGGCGUACCCCUUGCGUCCACCAUGUAUGGAAUAGCUGUUCCAGGAACAUACAUGGCCGAUGAUGACAUUGACAUCCCAGGAGGACCAGUAAAUCCGUUGUACCCAUAUACAGGAGCUGGAGAAAAGGACACUCCAGGUGCUAAACCCAAAGAGUUUCCUGUUUUUCCCAUGUAUAAUCCUGUUGCUGUCUCGAGGGACUUACCAUUGGACAGGAACGAAGCCAUCUGGGAAACAGUCUCUUUUCUGUCAACGUCCACUUUUGUACCCAAUAGAGAGAUAACCGGUUCAUCCACUUUGUGCCCUCCAUAGGAGGCUGUGCUCCACGGGUGCUGCCCAUAGUAGGGACCCUGAUCACGUGAAUCGAUGAAAAACUGUGGCCUGUCAUUCAAGUCGAAGUUUACUUCCUUCCCUGAUUGCUGAGAAACUGAAGGUGACGCGCUUUGCUGCCCAUUGUGACUUAAAAACAAUCUUGUUUCCAUCUUCAACUCAGAAGGUGGAGGAAUGUCAUCGUCCUCGUUUGUACAAUUCAAAUCCAGGUUGAACCUGCUUGAUCCCCGGAAAUUAGCUUCACGUGAGUACUCUCCACCCCUAGAGCUUGAUGAGGAGAAAGGAAACUGUUUCCAGGGAGUUUGAUCUU